UACGUAGGGGGCGAGCGUUGUCCGGAUUUACUGGGCGUAAAACGCUUGUAGGCGGCCACGCCAAGUCGGACGUGAAAUCUCCCGGCUUAACUGGGAGGGGUCGUUCGAUACUGGCGGGCUCGAGGCAGGUAGGGGGAAGCGGAAUUCCCGGUGUAGUGGUGGAAUGCGUAGAUAUCGGGAGGAACACCAGUGGCGAAGGCGGUUGCCUGGAGCUUUGCUGACGCUGAUGCGCGAAAGCGUGGGGAGCGAGUCCGG
rnacentral:rRNA from 1 species